CGCAUCUGUGCAUGCAGCAUAUCAAUAAGCGGAGGAAAAGAAACUAACAAGGAUUCCCUUAGUAACGGCGAGUGAAGCGGGAAGAGCUCAAAUUUGAAAUCUUCAAGGUUUUACCUUGACGAAUUGUAGUUUAAAGAAGUGUUUUCUGUUGAAGUUUUGGUAAAAGUUCUUUGGAAUAGGACAUCAUAGAGGGUGAGAAUCCCGUAUUUGACCAUUAUUUUCAGCUGUGUGAUACACUUUCAAAGAGUCGGAUUGUUUGGGAAUGCAGUCCAAAAUGGGUGGUAAAUUUCAUCUAAAGCUAAAUAUUGGCGAGAGACCGAUAGCGAACAAGUACCGUGAGGGAAAGAUGAAAAGAACUUUGAAAAGAGAGUUAAACAGUACGUGAAAUUGUCAAAAGGGAAGCGUUUGACACCAGUGUUGUUUUCUCGAAAAUCAAUUAAAAAGAGUUAGAUUUUGUUGUGUAUUGACCUUAACAGCUUGCAUUUCAAUUUUCUUGCUUUUUUUAAUGCACUAUUCGUUUAACAAGUCAACAUCAGUUUCUUUUGUUGUAAAAAGGUCAUUGGAAGGUGGCUUUCUUUUCGGAGAAAGUGUUUAUAGCCUUUGACUCCUGCAAUCGGAGAGACUGAGGUCUGCAGCGUAGAUCCUUCGGGGUUAGAUACAUUUGUGCUAAGUUAUAGCUUUUUAUAGACAACUUGUUGACUAUGAUUAGUCUUGUAGCCUACUCGCUUAUGCUAUUUUACCUACGCUUAGGAUGUUGAUGUGAUACUGCGAGCA
rnacentral:rRNA from 1 species